rnacentral:rRNA from 1 species
GAUGAACGCUGGCGGCGUGCCUAAUACAUGCAAGUCGAGCGAACAGAUGAGAAGCUUGCUUCUCUGAUGUUAGCGGCGGACGGGUGAGUAACACGUGGGUAACCUACCUAUAAGACUGGGAUAACUCCGGGAAACCGGGGCUAAUACCGGAUAAUAUUUUGAACCGCAUGGUUCAAUAGUGAAAGACGGUUUCGGCUGUCACUUAUAGAUGGACCCGCGCCGUAUUAGCUAGUUGGUAAGGUAACGGCUUACCAAGGCGACGAUACGUAACCGACCUGAGAGGGGGAUCGGCCACACGGGAACUGAGACACGGUCCAGACUCCUACGGGAGGAAGCAGUAGGGAAUCUUCCGCAAUGGGCGAGAGCCUGACGGAGCAACGCCGCGUGAGUGAUGAAGGUCUUCGGAUCGUAAAACUCUGUUGUUAGGGAAGAACAAAUUUGUUAGUAACUGAACAAGUCUUGACGGUACCUAACCAGAAAGCCACGGCUAACUACGUGCCAGCCGCCGCAGUAA